GGCAAGAUGGCCGAGCGGUCUAAGGCGCCACGUUAAGGAGAUAUCCUUAAUUCAAUAUCAAUGAUCCAUCCCGAUCUUGGGUCGGAUCAAAGAUGAUUCCGUGGUCCGAAAGGGCGUGGGUUCGAAUCCCACUCUUGUCA